rnacentral:rRNA from 1 species
CUCCUACGGGAGGCAGCAGUGAGGAAUAUUGGGCAAUGCCCGCAAGGGUGACCCAGCAACGCCGCGUGGAGGAUGAAUGCCGUAAGGUUGUAAACUCCUUUUGAAGAGGACGAAAAUUUUUGAUCGACUCAUAAAUUGACUGUACUCUUAGAAGAAGCCCCGGCUAACUACGUGCCAGCAGCCGCGGUAAUACGUAGGGGGCAAGCGUUGUCCGGAUUCACUGGGUGUAAAGGGCGCGUAGGUGGAUUUGUAAGUCAGAGGUGAAAUCCUGCAGCUUAACUGUAGAACUGCCUCUGAUACUGUUAAUCUUGAGUUCAGAAGAGAGAAGCGGAAUUCCAGGUGUAGUAGUGAAAUACGUAAAUAUCUGGAAGAACACCAGUGGCGAAGGCGGCUUCUUGGUCUGUAACUGACACUGAGGCGCGAAAGCGUGGGGAGCAAACAGGAUUAGAUACCCUGGUAGUCCACGCUGUAAACGAUGAAUACUAGGUGUUGGAUGUGUAAACAUUCAGUGCCGCAGUUAACGCAUUAAGUAUUCCACCUGGGGAGUACGAUCGCAAGGUUGAAACUCAAAGGAAUUGACGGGGGCCCGCACAAGCAGUGGAGCAUGUGGUUUAAUUCGAUG